UGUAGAGCCCUCUCUGUGGGGGUAAAACGGAGGUAACGGUGGGGAGAGGAGAGGCCCCACGUUCCGGGUGAGGGAAUGAGGGGAGAGCCCGGCCCAGAGCGCAGAGCUCCGUUCCUCCCGCAGGGCACAGCUCCGGGCGCGCAGCCAGAGCCGGCCGGCGGCACUGGGAGACUGCAGGCCCUGAGUUGGGCAGCGCGCCCAGCGCCGAGGAACUCCCGUAUAGAAGGAGCUGCGGAGCCACAGCUGCCCCACGGGACGCGGAUGAGUGGUAAAUCCAGGACCUGCCUUCGGCAAACGCCGGCCGCUCCCCGGCGCUCCCGAAGCCGCCCCGCCGGCCGCAGAGGAAGGGAAUGAGAAUCGGCCCCGCCGCCGUGGGAGAGGGGACGGGACCCCCCCGGGCAGCCCCGCGCUGGGCCGCGUAAAGUGCAUGAUAUUGCAGGAGCCAGGCCCGGCCCUCCUUGCAAGGUGUUUUGCCAUCCAGCGGCCCCCGGCUCCUCCUGCGCCCCGGGAUAACCGCCUGCUCCGCCAUCUUGUCGGCCUCGCGCUGCCUCCAGGAGCCGCCCGUCGCCUCCUUCCAUCGCUGCCGAGCUCCGAGCUUCAAUCCGUGCUGCAGGACGGGGCGAGCGCCUUCCCACACAGCGGGCCUGGAAUGUGCCACGCUCAGAGCCAACACCACCACACCCAGCAGCAGCGCCCUGCCGGGCACCGCCGCAGCCACGGGAGGACGAGGAGGGACCCGCAGCACGCACAGACGUCCCCAAAACCUCCCGGCACGGAGCUGAGCUGCUCUUCCAACGGCCAUCUUCUCAAUCUGCUCCCGGCCCCGUGGCAAAUAUCUGCUGAGAGACGGUCGCCGCGCCGCCCCGCGUACCAUCACCACUCGCUUCACGGUUCUUUUUAACUUUUUUUUUUUUCCUUUUUAAUUUUUUUUUUUUUUCAUCUUCUAUUUUAAAAGAGAAGCCGGCGAGGUGGGUUUUCUUUUCCGCCAACGAGAGAAGCUGCCCCUCAGUGCAGAGCGGAGCAGCUGGGGAGCGAAGCGCCUCGGAACCGCGCCGGGGAGCGGCCGCAUCCCGACGAGUCGCCCUCCGCUGUCACGGAGUGAUGGACCACUCAAUAUGAGGGGAUCACUGCAGCCAACUCCUGCGCCCGUUACCCCGGGGCGGCCGGAAGCACGCGGGGUAACGCAGCGUUUCCGUUUUCUCUUGGGAGGGAGCGGGGAAAAUCGAAGCAGUUUUGACUUUGACGGAGCCGUGGGAUUUGAUUCUUGGGCUGAUCCACGCGGGCGGCCGGCCCGGACGUCUCGGCUAUUUACACGAGGUUCUGGGGCGCUAUACAAGAUUUACAUUUCCGUUUGUACAGCAGAUGCUUUGAUAGAGUCGCGCUCUCAAACCGUCCCUUCCGGGGCGACAGAAAUCUGGAAGCUCCACAAACCCGGCGUUCCCCUUCCGGAUAAAAGCCUUUUGCCCGUCUCCUACACAAUCCAAGCCAUUGAAAAAGAAAAACAAAAACAAAAACCAACCAAGCGAAACAACCACCUCAUAUCUAUACACACAUACAGGGCUGUGUGUAUACAGACACAGAAGGAACAACCGAACCGCCGCCACGCGAAGCCCGGCUCUGCCCGCUGGCGUUGGGGAGCAGGAGGGGAGUCGGCUCCCACCACCGAGCACGGCAGACCACCACCACAACCCCUCUCCUCCCCUCGCGGGGUGCAUCCGGGCCUCGCUCAGCCUCUCCGUGUGGCUGCGGCCAGAAAACACCGCACCGCUCUGCUUGUUCUCUCUUUGUUGCUGCGAGAUUUCUUCCCCCGACGCGCUCUGCUCUUCUCACCCGUGUGCUGGAAGGUCAAAUGGAGCUGUGGGAGGUUUCUGUACAUAGAUACAGCGCUCAGAGCCGGCGCCGGGUGGGACAGAUGUGCUGGGUGUUGGGUUUUUUUUGGCUUGCGUGAUGUUUGCCUCUUCCCUUUUCCACGUGGCUCCUAAGCGGCGCUACCACGGAGUAAGAAAGGAGAGGUACCGCCCGCGUCGGCGCAAGAACCGGAGUGGCUCCCAGCAGCUGAGCAACAGAAAGUCCAUCAGCACCGAAGCGAGGGGACGCGGCGCUGCUGGCGCGGACACACACAGCAAUACAGCAGGACAUCACUGGGACAGCUGCCUUACAGUACAAAAUACAGUACGAGUGUACGGCGCCGGGCGGACACGCAGGAAUUACUAUUGCUCCCGGGAGGGCGUCGGAAACCGAGUCCUUUCGUGAUGGAGGAGAGUUAAAAACAGGAAAACGGAAGAGAGUCCUGGUUAAAAAUUCCCUUCAAAAGGGGCGGCGGGGGGCGCGUGGGGACGGCCCCGCUGGGAUGAGCCGCCCUCGGCCGUGCCUCACUUCUGCCAAUAAAUACGGAGCAAACGGAGCGGGGCGGCCGGGAGAGGGAUGGAGACAAUAAAUUAAGAAGGCAGCUGAAAUGAGAGGGCGGGCGUGCGUGGUGUGAGACAGAACCGGAGGGACGACGACGGUCCUACGAGAGCCUGGGAGGCGUCACACAGCAAUAGCUGGAACUUUGGAAUGAACAGCGGGCUCCCAUUCAGUUCAAAGUUAGGAGUACGGCGUGUUGGCUUAAAAAAAACCCCGCUGUGCAGGGCGGGACUGAGCCGAUUGCUUUAAAAAAUAAAGACCAUUCGAGAGUGAAAAUCCAUUUAAUAACAGAGGAGAGCGCCGAGAGGCCCCGCUGUGCUCCGCGGCGGCAGGAGCCGCGCUGGCGGAACGUCGAAGUGGUCAUUAAGAAUAAUUAAAAAAGGGGGAGAGAGGACAAAAAAUUAAAAAAAAAAAAAAAAAAAAACCAAAAAGGGGGGGAAAAAAAAAAAAUAAAAAUGAAAACCAAACCCAAAAAAAGGGGGGAGACGUGGCGGGGCUCCCAGCUCCCCCAGCCACCACACGUUGAGGUACUGAGGAGACGCGUUGAGUUCGUGUUAAAAACCCGCGCUCGGAGGAGGGAGAGGAGGAAGAAGAAGAGGAGCGGGGUGGGAUUUCUGCACCUGAGGUCGGCGGCACCGCGGCGUGGGGGAUCCCUGCGGCACCGCGGCCGUGUGCUUUGUGCUGCUGCCUUCUGCUGCUGCCUUCCUGCUGCUCGCCCUCUCUCUGCGACCCCCGUGGUCGAAAGAAAA
ensembl:lncRNA